rnacentral:rRNA from 1 species
GAUGAACGCUAGCUACAGGCUUAACACAUGCAAGUCGAGGGACCGGCGCACGCGUGAGUAACACGUAUCCAACCUGCCCUUUACUCGGGGAUAGCCUUUCGCAAGAAAGAUUAAUACCAGCUAUCACGAAUGGGGAUGCGUUCCAUUAGUUUGUUGGUUAGGACACGGCUCACCAAGCCUUCGAUGGAUAGGGGUUAUGAGAGGAAGGGCCCCCACAUUGGAACUGAGACACGGGACAAACUCCUACGGGACGCAGCAGUGAGGAAUAUUGGUCAAUCGGCGCUAGCCUGAAACAGCCAAGUAGCGUGAAGGAUGAAGGAUUAUGGGUCGUAAACUUCUUUUAUAUAAGAAUAUGUAUUAUAUGAAUAAGGAUCGGCUAACUCCGUGCCAGCCGCCGCGGUAAUAC